GCGGAGCCGGUGACUACUUUUAUGUUGGCAACAACCCUUAUACCAAUAUAUCUGCUUUCUUUCUUGUGUGUGUGAGUGGCUGUCUGGCGACUGGCGAGGCUAUGAUGAUAUAUUCUUUGAGCUUGAAAAGUUGGACUCGAGGUGAAAUACUCAAUUUCUUGGCAAGGCAACCUUUUGUUGUUGCAGCGCCGAUGUUGUGGUGUUUCUGUCCUGUCCAAUUGGAAGGCAUAUCUGAUCUGAGCCAUCUCUUUCUCCAGAUUUCU